UAAGAUUGAAUUCAAAAACUCACAUGCUAUGAUUAAGAUUGUAUUCAACUUUUUCAUCAAGCACAAGAGCUAUUAUAGAUAAUCCCAUCAAGCGCGAAGCUCACACUGUUAGCCCUCAUUUGUAUCACUAAGGAUAGAAAUCUAAGAAUAGCUUUAGGAAGCAGAAGUAGGCAAACUCAGGGAACCAGACAAAC